GGCAGUCCAGAAAAUGGAACUUGGCUGCCCGUACCAAAGUCGAGCCAAAUUAGAAAGAAUACCUCACCAAAAAUCUUAAUGGAGCUGAAACCACAAGUAGGGGAAGCCAUUACGUUUUCGUAGGAUUGUAAGGUCAUUGCUGGGAUUUUCUUUUGUCCCUAUGUCCCACUACCAGGUGACAAUCUCUGUGGAUGGCAUCCUAACAACAACAGGCUACACUCAAGAGGACUACACCAUGCUGGGCUCAGAUGACUUCUUCUAUGUUGGUGGAAGCCCAAGCACUGCGGACUUGCCAGGCUCACCUGUGAGCAACAACUUCAUGGGCUGCCUUAAAGAGGUUGUUUAUAAGAAUAAUGACAUCCGUCUGGAGCUGUCUCGCUUGGCCCGG
rnacentral:lncRNA from 1 species